rnacentral:rRNA from 1 species
UUUUUAUGGAGAGUUUGAUCCUGGCUCAGGAUGAACGCUGGCGGCGUGCCUAAUACAUGCAAGUCGAGCGAACAGACGGGGAGCUUGCUCCUCUGACGUUAGCGGCGGACGGGUGAGUAACACGUGGAUAACCUACCUAUAAGACUGGGAUAACUUCGGGAAACCGGAGCUAAUACCGGAUAAUAUAUUGAACCGCAUGGUUCAAUAGUGAAAGACGGUUUUGCUGUCACUUAUAGAUGGAUCCGCGCCGCAUUAGCUAGUUGGUAAGGUAACGGCUUACCAAGGCAACGAUGCGUAGCCGACCUGAGAGGGUGAUCGGCCACACUGGAACUGAGACACGGUCCAGACUCCUACGGGAGGCAGCAGUAGGGAAUCUUCCGCAAUGGGCGAAAGCCUGACGGAGCAACGCCGCGUGAGUGAUGAAGGUCUUCGGAUCGUAAAACUCUGUUAUUAGGGAAGAACAAAUGUGUAAGUAACUAUGCACGUCUUGACGGUACCUAA